rnacentral:misc_RNA from 1 species
AAUCAUCAAAAACCCUUUUUCUGUUUACAGAAAAGGAUUUUUGGACUUGGAGGUUCAAUGCUUGCCUUUCACUUUUGAAAGUGAGCUCCUCUCAAAUGAAUUAGUGGGGUCCGCUUUGCUGGUCCUUGACGUGAUAAGAUGUUUCUACGUUUUGGAUUGGCACUGUUCCUUUGGAUUCCUGCUUCUAACUGUCCUACGGACAAAUGAUGGUGCUUCGGUCGCCGUCCGUCUACAUUGGCGGGGGGAAGGCUGGACCCACGAAAGAAAA